CACAAAGGUAGGGGGAGGGAAAGUGUGGGAUUAAUUUAAAUGACUUCAAAGGGUCUUUUUUGUUUCCUCUAAAUUUCAUUCUUUUUAAAUUGCAUCCCUGAGUUGUAAGCAGGUGCCGUCACAUCCAACUGGAUAGGAAUUGUGAAAUGCUCAAGCUAAUGGUCUCGCAACAAGAUCCUUAACCAAAGAAUACGAUGCCUAUUUUAUGUCAAAAAGACCCCAGAGACCUGCAAAAUCAGAAGUGCUUAGAGUAGGCAGAGAAUGGGAUUCACUGAGAGCUGGGGUUUUGUCAGGUGGCUUGUUUAACGUACAGAACCCUUUGGGAGGAGACCAUUGUGUCAAGUGUGAAAGAUGACGUGAGUGGAGCCACAUCAAAAUAAAGCCAGAGCAACCACUUCAGAGGAAUUGCCUUGCAAGCCUUGUUUUCCUUGUCUUCCAAACUGAACCAAACUACCAAUAUUCUGAAGAGUCAGCAAGGACAAGAGUAUCCUGUUUGUGAGGACUGAUAAAACUGGACUUUGCCUGAUGACCAAAUCUCGAG
rnacentral:lncRNA from 1 species